rnacentral:rRNA from 1 species
GACGAACGCUGGCGGCGUGCUUAACACAUGCAAGUCGAGCGGUAAGGCCCUUUCGGGGGUACACGAGCGGCGAACGGGUGAGUAACACGUGGGUGACCUGCCCUCAGCUCUGGGAUAAGCCUGGGAAACCGGGUCUAAUACCGGAUAUGACUCCAUGACGCAUGUUGUGGGGUGGAAAGCCUUGUGCGGCUGAGGAUGGGCCCGCGGCCCAUCAGCUUGUUGGUGGGGUGANGGCCUACCAAGGCGACGACGGGUAGCCGGCCUGAGAGGGCGACCGGCCACACUGGGACUGAGACACGGCCCAGACUCCUACGGGAGGGCAGCAGUGGGGAAUCUUGCGCAAUGGGCGAAAGCCUGACGCAGCGACGCCGCGUGAGGGAUGACGGCCU